AGUCUGUUUCAGGGCGGGGUGCGAUUCCCCACCGGCGGUGACAGGGCCCUGCCCUGAAGCCCGCGACUCCUCCGGCCCCCGGCCGGCGGACUGAUUCGGUGUGAUUCCGAAGCCGACGGUAUAGUCCGGAUGAGAGAAACGGCGC
rfam:Clostridium sp. ATCC 29733 genomic scaffold Scaffold15, whole genome shotgun sequence.